UGUGCAAAGUGGUAGUGUCGUGAAAAAUUCUACAUAUUUACAAUUAAAAUAUAGACAAAGUUUCUUGCUUUGAUAAAACAAUGCAUCUUAAAAUAUUCCUGAAUAAGCUUAACUCGGCUGAAAACAAGCCGGCUGAAUUCGUCCGGUACUCGUUCUAUAAUUCGUACCUGAUGAUGGUUCCUCAUGAACAUCCGUAUUCAUCGUGCUGCUGUAUGGAUCCCAAAACUGAUAUUUUGUUAAGCUGAAACCCCGGAAGAUCAAGGAACCUAUAAACUAGAAGGCAUAUAGCGACGCAAAUAUCCAGAGCUGCUGGGCGAUCAGUUCUAAAUAAAAGCCUUACGUUCAGGCCGAAUUGGUGCACUAUUGCAAAAUGUAUCAAUAUUUUGCGCUGCCUCUGCCGAUAGAUGCAUAGUUCAAGUAAUCAACUUAAUCAACUCGAAUAUUAUGCAGUUCACGACCAUUAACCCGAAGUACGGUAUGCCGAUGUAGAUUUCUAAUACCGUUCAGCGCCGUUUAGUUUGUGAUGACGACUUCGAAGUCCUUUCGAAUACUUCUGGUGACGGUUUAUCGGUGCGAAUGCAGUUUCAUUUUGACGACAGCCAAAAACAGUCUAUACACAGUAGCUAAAUGAAAAAGAUAAAAAUAAUUUCGUUUUUAAAAGAUUCAAUAAA